GACUCACUGUUAUUACAUGCAGAGGUUCUUUCUCUUCAGCACCCUCUGCUGGUCAUAGUGGGAUUACUCACGAGCAUAUAUUUAGUGGGGUUUUUUAUGCUCCUAUUGGUGGAGGAAACAGGAAGCUGGCUGCUUGUUAGCCUGCAGAUAUGCUGUGCGUUGGCUUAGAUGCCUUUUAAAACAUUUCUGCCUUGGAGAGUUAUUGCUUAUUUUUUUCAUGAAAUCAAAGCACAAGCCAGGGUUCCACCUGAACUGACCGUGAAUCCACCUCUGAUCACAGAGACAGACUCAGUCACACUGAGCUGUCA